GCCCGAGUUGUAAUUUGCAGAGGAAGCUUCUGGCGACGCGCCGCCUAAGUCCCCUGGAAUGGGGCGCCACAGCGGGUGAGAGCCCCGUGUGACGGCUGCUGAACCAGUGUGAAGCUCCUUCGACGAGUCGAGUAGUUUGGGAAUGCUGCUCAAAAUGGGAGGUAAAUUCCUUCUAAAGCUAAAUACCGGCCAGAGACCGAUAGCGCACAAGUAGAGUGAUCGAAAGAUGAAAAGCACUUUGAAAAGAGGGUUAAACAGCACGUGAAAUUGUUGAAAGGGAAGCGCUUAUGACCAGACUUGCGCUGGGCUGAUCAUCCGGUGUUCUCACCGGUGCACUCUGCCCAGCGCAGGCCAGCAUCGGUUUCGGCGGGGGGAUAAAGGCGCUGGGAACGUAGCUCCCCCGGGAGUGUUAUAGCCCAGCGUGCAAUGCCCCCGCCGGGACCGAGGACAGCGCCCUGCGAGGAUGCUGGCGUAAUGGUCAUCAGCGACCCG
rnacentral:rRNA from 1 species